rnacentral:ncRNA from 1 species
AACGGUGCGAGAACGAAGCUGGAUCCGGUGUCAACAUUCUGCAGAGAGAGCUGGUGGAUGGUGCAAACCAGCCUAAGCGUCGCCGAACUCGCCUCCGAGCCGAAUCUCUGAACAUGAAGUAAGAGAUUCCGCCUUGCCUCCGUAAGAGGCAGAAUGAAGGGUCUGACGACCUGUCGGUCCUCAGGCUGAAUCAGGGUGGUACCACGGAGUGCGUGAAGCCUUCGUCCCUGGG